UUACGGCCAUAUCACGUUCAAACACCGCUUCCCGUACGAUGACUCAAGUUAAGCAAUAUCGAGCCUGGUCAGUGCCUAGAUGGGUGACCGUUUGGAAAUACCAGGUGCGGG